AAAAAGUGAAUGUGAUCUGUGAUCGAAGUUCUUGUGGCAAACCUGACAUUUAGUAUGCAUAUCUUUAGAGAAUUAGGACAUACAAUAAAAAAAACUACUUGAAUCAACGGAUGUUCAUUAAAGGCGACAUGUAUUCAAGUAAAUAUAUGUACAUUCAUGCUUCUAAUAUAUGUAGGUUCAACUCUGAAUAUUAUCCAUUUUAAUUGCAUUGUAACUGUUAAUAAGUUUUUUAUGAUUCCGUGUCCCGGCGAACACAUAGUGAAAUGUGUCCUUCUAAUCGAAUAGUGAAAUAUGUCCUUCUAAUCGAAUCAGUUUUGGUUUUGUAUUUUUUUAAAAGUCCAUUAUUUCUUUACAAUAAGUAUGGAAAUACAGCACAUUGAGACCUUGUGGGUUGAUGUAGACUUUUUGAAGCCACCAACCUGUAAAACUACACCUACUUAUAAUGUUUAAAAAUCAGCACAUCUCUGGACUUAAAAAGUACUAUUAAGAUAUAAAGAUUUUUUUAUCUUUUGUAGUUAUUUUUUAAGCGGUUAAAGUUCAAGUAAAUAGCGUGUGUUAUCUAACAUCCGUUAACUGCAUCUCUACUUAGUCUAGGGGAGUUGCCCAUCAACCUUAUAAUUUAACCAGUCAAUAGAUCACCACUGAGCAGGGCAUCCGGCUGAGCUAUUCACUUUUAUAAGAAUGCAACUGAACACAUUUCUGCAUUCACACUGCUUUUUAAAAUUAAGUAAUUAUAACUCAUAUAUAUUAACAUGUGUCAAUAUACAUACCGAUAUUGUUUUUGUUUUUUUGUUUUAUUUGAGUACAUUAUUUUCAAUUUGCAUACAUUAACCUAGAAAUAUAUACAAUGAAAAAUUAACAACUUGUUAACAAUCGUUUACUUUGGAUUCAAAACAACAAUGUCACAUUAAAUAUAAUUUAUUGAUGCAUGAUAAGAUAAGAUGAAUCAUUUUGGGUUGAGGAUUUUAACAUUAACUUUCCUAGGAGUUACCAUUGUUUGUACGACCUCUCAAGAUAAUGUAUUGUACGAUGUACACACACAUCAAUGACGUAGUUGAAAAUCCCCCCUAUUCCAAUAUAUUUGUUUAAAGAUGUUAACAACAAAACAUCUCCAACAGCCAUUUAUGUAAUAUUAUAGGCGACAUGACCAACAUUUCUGAAAGACACGCCCGACUUUGUACUUAAUUUGUUUAAAGGAGAAAUAAUACAGCAAUCGUACAGUCCCCUGUAUUUAUCAUGUACAUUUUCAACUUUUAAUAGAGCAACAAAUUUUGACCCAUAAGUAGAACAUAAAUAGUUUGCUUAACGCUUUUUUGCCCAUCCUGAAUGUUAAUUUAAGCAAGAUUUAAUACCAAUUUAAAGUUUAAAAUACUGAUUAUUAAUAGUUAUCAUAUUAUAUCUGUCGUGUCACACAUUCAAACCUAUUGUGCUAUGGUUAUAAAUAUGUGUAUAAUAUAAUUAAUCUUUAGAUCAUGUAAUGAGGAAUACAUUUGUGUUCAAAUUACUGAAUUAAUAUUUUGAAUAUUGAAAUUUGAAUCAUAAAAAAGAUUGUUGGACUAAAAUGGCCCUUUUUAGAACAUAACAGGCUUCAUUGUUCGAUAACGAUUUCACGAAUUCUCGCGAAAACCAAGUUGCGAAAAAAAGUAUUUUGGCCAGUACAGGGGAGUAUCACGUGAUCACUAUAGUACAUUGGCCGUACAAGAUGGCGAAUAAUUCGACCGCAUCAACACAUAAAUUCGGCGUUUACGGAUAGUAAAUAUUUAGAUUAUGCUGCACUACAAGUCUGUCCGGCCUACUUAAAACGCUUUUCAGACGAGUUCUGAAGUGAGUCGGAUUAAUAUUUCGUAAUGCGACGGAAGAAGUCCACACUUUCGCUCCAUAGACCCAAACAAAAACGAACUGGAAAGCAAAAUUGUUUUCUCCAGCAAAAUGCCAUACACAAGUAAUUCUCGAAGGAUUGCCACCAUUUCUAUCUCCUAUGAAAUGACCAUUCCGUUCCCCUCUCUGCAAGGAUUCGCCACUAAAAUACAAUUGAAAUUGCCUGAACUGUUAUAGUGAGAAUUAGAAUCAAUGUAUCAUAUGUUAGUUUGACAAUUUCAUUGAAGUUAUCGUUGUCGCUGUGUUGUCACGUGUAUGUAAGACAUUCGAACCGUCAAAUAGUUUACGUGUGAUGUCUUCUUUUUUCACCACAAGCAUAAUAGUGCAUUGCUUUUUGAUAUAUUCAGUUUGUGUUAACCGACGAAUAGGUGAAUAAAAAGAAACUAAUAUGUA